rnacentral:ncRNA from 2 species
GCACAAAGUAUCAUUUCAGGUGCUUUAUAAAAGCUUAAUAGGGAACACUCGUGAAAAUCGAGGACGGGCCCUCCGCUGUAAUCGUGGACGAACAUUGCAAUUAUACCACUGUUUGUAUAAAACCAAAUGGGAAGGUGCAAUAAGUAGUAUGAUACGAAAGUCAGAAGACCUGCCUGAAUUUGUAUUGCUGU